GAUGAACGCUGGCGGCGUGCCUAAUACAUGCAAGUCGAGCGAACAGAUGAGGAGCUUGCUCCUCUGACGUUAGCGGCGGACGGGUGAGUAACACGUGGAUAACCUACCUAUAAGACUGGGAUAACUUCGGGAAACCGGAGCUAAUACCGGAUAAUAUAUUGAACCGCAUGGUUCAAUAGUGAAAGACGGUUUUGCUGUCACUUAUAGAUGGAUCCGCGCCGCAUUAGCUAGUUGGUAAGGUAACGGCUUACCAAGGCAACGAUGCGUAGCCGACCUGAGAGGGUGAUCGGCCACACUGGAACUGAGACACGGUCCAAACUCCUACGGGAGGCAGCAGUAGGGAAUCUUACGCAAUGGGCGAAAGCUUGACGGAGCAACGCCGCGUGAGUGAUGAAGGUCUUCGGAUCGUAAAACUCUGUUAUUAGGGAAGAACAAAUGUGUAAGUAACUAUGCACGUCUUGACGGUACCUAAUCAGAAAGCCACGGCUAACUACGUG
rnacentral:rRNA from 1 species